rnacentral:other from 1 species
GUAGGCCUGCAACGCGCGUGAUGGCGCGACGAUCUUUUGAACCAAUGCUGGAUCUCUGUGGUGCCCGGGUCAGACGGCCUGUGCGCAUGGCCCGCAGCCGGGCAUGCCUCGGCGGCGGGAAAGCCUAAGGGCCGGCGCAGGGCGCCCACCUUAUAACAGAGGUUCAGGAUCUAGCUCCACACGGCGAAGUGGACCGCUC